rnacentral:lncRNA from 1 species
ACCGCAAGGUUCGUCUUAUCAAAAUACCGAUCAACUGAUUCCGUAACUGAGAUGAUUAACAAACUAAACUUGCCUUUACUUACUCAACGCAGGAGGAUAGCUAGAUUGAAAAUUCUUUCUAGCAGGUUG